UGAGAUUCAAGGACAAGCGAUUUGAUUACCCUGACACCCUGACAAUUCCUGAUAUCAGACUGUCUUUUGAGAGACCCGCUUCGUCAAGCUCAACCAAGAUGGUGACUGUAGCGCGGUUUGAGGAGGAGCCCUCAGAGGGAUCAUACAGAGGCAAACUAACUAACAAGAAGCUUACCUCUCCUUGAGCGGCACUUUUUUUUUCAGGACUCAGACUACGACAAAG